rnacentral:rRNA from 1 species
UACGUAGGUGGCAAGCGUUAUCCGGAAUUACUGGGCGUAAAGCGCACGCAGGCGGCGCAGCAAGUUCGACGUGAAAGCUCCCGGCUUAACUGGGAGAGGUCGUUGAAGAUUGCUGUGCUUGAGGCAAUGAGAGGGGUGUAGAAUUCCCGGUGUAGUGGUGGAAUGCGUAGAUAUCGGGGGGAAUACCAGUGGCGAAAGCGGCACCCUAGCAUUAGCCUGACGCUCAUGUGCGAAAGCGUGGGGAGCGAACGGG